rnacentral:rRNA from 1 species
CGGAAUUACUGGGCGGAAAGGGCUCGUAGGCGGCCACAUAAGUCUGAUGUGAAAUCUCCCGGCUUAACUGGGAGGGGUCAUUGGAAACUGCCGAGCUUGAGGCGAUGAGAGGGGUGUAGAAUUCCCGGUGUAGUGGUGGAAUGCGUAGAUAUCGGGAGGAAUACCAGUGGCGAAAGCGGCACCCUGGCAUUAGCCUGACGCUCAUGUGCGAAGGCGUGGGGAGCGAACGGG